rnacentral:rRNA from 1 species
AAUAUUGCACAAUGGAGGGAACUCUGAUGCAGCAACGCCGCGUGAGUGAAGAAGGUUUNCGGAUCNUNAAACUCUGUCAUUGGGGNAGAAUAAAUGACGGUACCCAAUGAGGACGCCCCGGCUAACUACGUCCCAGCAGCCGCGGGAAUACGUAGGGGGCGAGCGUUGUCCGGAAUUACUGGGCGUAAAGGGUACGUAGGCGGCUAUAGAAGUCAGGUGUGAGAUAUCAGUGCUUAACACUGGGAUUGCAUUUGAAACUGUGUAGAUUGAGUGCAAGAGAGGAAAGUGGAAAUCCUAGUGUAGCGGUGAAAUGCGUAGAGAUUAGGAGGAACACCAGUGGCGAAGGCGACUUUCUGGACUGUAACUGACGCUGAGGUACGAAAGCGUGGGUAGCGAACA